rnacentral:misc_RNA from 1 species
AACACCCUCAGCCCUCCUCUCUCGUUUCGGCGUGAAAAAGGGGAGCUGGACUUGAGUGAUCCCAACGGCAGUGAUUUUUUAAACCGCUGCUGGCGGGUCGCUUGAAAUGCAGGGGCGGCUGGACACAUCUUCUGAGCUAUAAGCAUUACUUAUUUAGUCCCGUCAAACGGAUUAUUUCUAUUGCUGCAGCUAACAUAAAGGUCGAUUGUCCUUGUGCCCGACUGAUGCAGGAAGACAAAAAGAAAGUCUGCGUCUCUGACGGAGGUCCUCUCUCUUUGUUCA